UAAUACGUAGGGGGCAAGCGUUGUCCGGAUUUAUUGGGCGUAAAGAGCGUGUAGGCGGCCAUACAGGUCCGUUGUGAAAACUGGAGGCUUAACCUCCAGACGUCGAUGGAAACCGUAUGGCUAGAGUCCGGAAGAGGAGAGUGGAAUUCCUGGUGUAGCGGUGAAAUGCGCAGAUAUCAGGAAGAACACCCGUGGCGAAGGCGGCUCUCUGGGACGGUACUGACGCUGAGACGCGAAAGCGUGGGGAGCGAACAGGAUUAGAUACCCUGGUAGUCCACGCCGUAAACGAUGGGUGCUAGGUGUGGGGGGUGUCGACUCCCUCCGUGCCGCAGCUAACGCAUUAAGCACCCCGCCUGGGGAGUACGGCCGCAAGGCUA
rnacentral:rRNA from 1 species